rnacentral:rRNA from 1 species
GACGAACGCUGGCGGCGUGCUUAACACAUGCAAGUCGAGCGGUAAGGCCCUUUCGGGGGUACGACGAGCGGCGAACGGGUGAGUAACACGUGGGUGACCUGCCCUCAGCUCUGGGAUAAGCCUGGGAAACCGGGGUACUAAUACCGGAUAUGACUCCAUGACGCAUGUUGUGGGGUGGAAAGCCUUGUGCGGCUGAGGAUGGGCCCGCGGCCUAUCAGCUUGUUGGUGGGGUGAUGGCCUACCAAGGCGACGACGGGUAGCCGGCCUGAGAGGGCGACCGGCCACACUGGGACUGAGACACCGGCCCAGACUCCUACGGGAGGCAGCAGUGGGGAAUCUUGCGCAAUGGGCGAAAGCCUGACGCAGCGACGCCGCGUGAGGGAUGACGGCCUGGUUGUAA